UGUGUGUGGUAUUUAACGUUAAGUAGCAGAACAGGAAUGCAGCCCUUCAGGGAGCCAGUCCUCCUACCUGAAGUUGUGCUGGCUGCUUGCUCUACAGCUCUACUCAGUAGAAUUCAUUUGGGAAAUGGUGAUGAGCCUCUGGAUAUUAACAAGGGCGGGAAUGACUACUGAUGUCAUUAGCCAAGGAAAAGAUAUGCUGUGCUGAGAAAAAGCUACUAGGUGAUCAGAAUGAGGAGGCCAAAGGGUCCUCAACCCCCAUCUGUAUUCUGGCUUCUCGUUCAUCUUUGCAGCCUCUCUGGAAGUCCAACUUGUCCCAGGAAAAAAGAUACAUGCAUGACCCCAGAAUUUAGGAUACUAUCUCCAUACAGAAAAAGAGCAGAGAAGAGAAGAAUUUGAAACUGUCGAGAAACAUCUCUACAAAAAAGAUCGUGAUCCCUGUUUAAUGUCAUUGUCACUAACUCAAUUAUAUGUAGAAUCCCAGCAGGGAACAUAAACAGGUUAAGGCGACUGGAGGAGGUCAGCUGUGGACCAGAGAGUUCAUGACCCACUCAUAAGGAGCCCGUCAUGACUCAGCUCUAACACAUGCCUGUUGUGUGAAAACUCAUGAACAGGGAGCAAUCGAUGACUUUUAAAAUGGCUCAUGACAGGUUCAUUCCCUUGGGUAAUGAAUGCCUUCCCUUUGAACAUGGGCUGGACCUAGUGACUUGUGUCCAAUGAAAAAAACACAGCAAAAGUAUCUGGAUGGCAUUUCCAAGAUUAAGUUGCAAAAAAACUGUGACUUCCGUCCUGCUUUCAUUUUUGUUCUGAUGAAGCAAGCUGCCAUGUGAUGAGCUGCCGUGUGAAGAGGCCUACUUGAAAAGGAACCAAGGUGGUAUAUAUACACAAUGAAAUAUUACUCAG